CCUACGGGUGGCAGCAGUGAGGAAUAUUGGUCAAUGGACGAGAGUCUGAACCAGCCAAGUAGCGUGAAGGAUGACUGCCCUAUGGGUUGUAAACUUCUUUUAUAUGGGAAUAAAAUGUUCCACGUGUGGGAUUUUGUAUGUACCAUAUGAAUAAGGAUCGGCUAACUCCGUGCCAGCAGCCGCGGUAAUACGGAGGAUCCGAGGGUUAUCCGGAUUUAUUGGGGUUAAAGGGAGCGUAGGGGGAUUGUUAAGUAAGUUGUGAAAGUUUGCGGAUCAACCGUAAAAUUGCAGUUGAAACUGGCAGUCUUGAGUACAGUAGAGGUGGGCGGAAUUCGGGGUGUAGCGGUGAAAUGCUUAGAUAUCACGAAGAACUCCGAUUGCGAAGGCAGUUCACUGGACUGCAACUGACACUGAGGCUCGAAAGUGUGGGUAUCAAACAGGAUUAGAUACCCCAGUAGUC
rnacentral:rRNA from 1 species